CCCUAGUAGCGGCGAGCGAAGCGGGAAGAGCUCAAAUUUAUAAUCUGGCACCUUCGGUGUCCGAGUUGUAAUCUCUAGAAGUGUUUUCCGCGUUGGACCGCACACAAGUCUGUUGGAAUACAGCGGCAUAGUGGUGAAACCCCCGUAUAUGGUGCGGACGCCCAGCGCUUUGUGAUACACUUUCAAUGAGUCGAGUUGUUUGGGAAUGCAGCUCAAAUUGGGUGGUAAAUUCCAUCUAAAGCUAAAUAUUGGCGAGAGACCGAUAGCGAACAAGUACCGUGAGGGAAAGAUGAAAAGCACUUUGGAAAGAGAGUUAACAGUACGUGAAAUUGUUGGAAGGGAAACGCUUGAAGUCAGACUUGCUUGCCGGAGCUUGCUUCGGUUUGCAGGCCAGCAUCAGUUUUCCGGGGUGGAUAAUGACGGUUUGAAGGUAGCAGUCUCGGCUGUGUUAUAGCUUUCCGUUGGAUACAUCCUGGGGGACUGAGGAACGCAGCGUGCUUUUUGCGAAAGACUCGUCUUUUUCACGCUUAGGAUGCUGGUGGAAUGGCUUUAAACGACCCGUCUUGAAACCACGGACCA
rnacentral:rRNA from 1 species